CGGUGUUUAACUGGCGUGAUGUGGGACGUCCUACCGGUGGGCUUAGCCUCGCGAGGGGCGGCCCAACUAAUAUCCCGUCGCGGUGCUCUUUACUGAGUGUCGAGUCGGGCCGGUACGUUUACUUUGAACAAAUUAGAGUGCUUAAAGCAGGCUAUCCUCGCCUGAAUACUGCGUGCAUGGAAUAAUGGAAUAGGACCUCGGUUCUAUUUUGUUGGUUUUCGGAACCCCGAGGUAAUGAUUAAUAGGGACAGAUGGGGGCAUUCGUAUUGCGACGUUAGAGGUGAAAUUCUUGGAUCGUCGCAAGACGGUCAGAAGCGAAAGCAUUUGCCAAAAAUGUUUUCAUUAAUCAAGAACGAAAGUUAGAGGUUCGAAGGCGAUCAGAUACCGCCCUAGUUCUAACCAUAAACGAUGCCAGCUAGCGAUCCGCCGAAGUUCCUCCGAUGACUCGGCGGGCAGCUUCCGGGAAACCAAAGCUUUUGGGUUCCGGGGGAAGUAUGGUUGCAAAGCUGAAACUUAAAGGAAUUGACGGAAGGGCACCACCAGGAGUGGAGCCUGCGGCUUAAUUUGACUCAACACGGGAAACCUCACCAGGCCCAGACACCGGAAGGAUUGACAGAUUGAUAGCUCUUUCUUGAUUCGGUGGGUGGUGGUGCAUGGCCGUUCUUAGUUGGUGGAGCGAUUUGUCUGGUUAAUUCCGAUAACGAACGAGACUCUAGCCUGCUAAAUAGGCGUACCUUAUGGUAUCGCGAAGGCCCCCGGCUUCGGCCGGUGGGUUUUUACUACCAACGUACAAACAAAUCCUCUUAGAGGGACAGGCGG
rnacentral:rRNA from 1 species